UCUGCAAGUACCGGGCAUGAGAGCGAGGACAUCGGCUAGUUUGACAGACGCACUCUGAGUGGCUGAGGCUGAUCAGAAACAGGAGAGGCCAGGCCCGGGGCUGACCGCCAAGGCUGGAGUCAGGACUGAGAGACUCUGGGCCCAGGAAAGUUCCCACCCUCAUAGCUUACCACAGGGAGAAGCCCGACAGCCCAGAACCAGCAGACCUGAGAACUCCACAGCACCAAGAGGCCCCUAGCCUAACAGCUGGGCCCCCAGGAGCCAAGGGCAGAAGGGAGAAACACAUCUCGGAGACAAGGGGCUGCUUGGCCAACACAGCCCACAAAGAGGACACCAAUGGUCAAGCCACAUACCCAGUGUCAGUCUAUGCUAACCAGCAUAGCAUAGAAGCAGAGCUUCUGAAAACAGAAGCCCGUGAUUUCUCCUCCAAAUCUGUUCCUCUUCAGCCCUUCCAGCUCUCCAUCGUCUGCUCAAGCCAGAAAUCUGAGUGUCUCUCACCCUUGUAAUCCAUCUCCAAGAACAGCCAUUCCUAACCCCAGAGUAUAUCUCUGGGGUCUGCCAACUAUAGCCUGAGCAUCAAAUAUGGGCAACUACCUGCUUCUGUUCAGCUUACCAGUUAAGAAAAGGUUUACUUUUAAAAUGGUUGGAAAAUCAAAAGAAGAAGAAUAUUUCAUGACACGUGGAAAUGACAUGAAAGUCAAACUUCAGUGUCCUUAAAUAAAGCUUCCCUGGAACACAGCCAUGCUUCAUUCAUUUACGUAUGAUCUGUGGUUGCUUUUGCACUACAAUAGCAGAACUGAAUAGUGGCAUAUUGCAAAGUCUAAAAUAUUUACUUCCUGGCCCUUUGCAGAAAAAGUGUGCUGACACCUCAUAUAUCUUCACUCUCUAGUUCUCUCCAUCUCUGCUUCUCUCCCUGGCCGGCCAAGUGCCAGCAUCCCCUGCCUCGAUGACCACAUGAGGCUCUUCACUGGUUUCUCCACCUGGAAUCCCACCAGCACCCCAGCUCUGAAGCAGCAAGCACACAAUUCCUGGCUCACCCCUAGUGGUCCUUUCCCCUUCCUCCUCCGGGAAGCCAGAUCACCGCCCCAAGCAGCGUGGGCUCCUGCCCCUCCAGCCUCGGCUGCUGCCACACCCCCAGGACAGGGCUGCCCCCCAAGCCUGUGUUCCAGUGUCUACCCGAGGGGAGUUCCAGUUCCUGGGAGACUACACUGACUUUCAAAGGACCUGGGAUCCCUGCCUCCCAGAGGUAGUAUCUCUCCUUGCUCCAAAGCUCCCAGCAAAAAAUGUUUCUCAUUACG